rnacentral:lncRNA from 1 species
UUUUUUUUUUUUUUUUUGCAGAUGUUUACAAAAUUGACGUGGUUCCUGGGAAGACGUACCUGUUGAGGUUAAUCAGCGCAUCACUGAACACGGAGCACUUCUUUGCCAUUGCAAAUCACAAAUUAACAAUAGUCGAAGCCGAUGCUGAGUACACAAAGCCCUUCACCACCGACCACGUUAUGCUUGGACCUGGCCAGACCCUUAACGUUCUGGUCACCGCUAAUCAACCUAUAGCGAAGUACUCCAUGGCCAUGGGCCCUUAUAUGUCUGCAAGAAACGUCCCAUUUCAAACUAUAACCUCAACCGCCUACUUCCAGUACCUGGGUGCCCUGCCCAAUAGCCUCUCGUCACCGGCUCCCGUCCCAACGUUUAACGACAACCUUGCUGUUAAAACGGUCAUGGAUGGGCUGAGGAGCUUGAGCGGAACCCCGAGCGUUCCUAAGGAGAUUGACCAGAAUCUGUUCAUUACAAUUGGAUUGAACGUCCAAAAGUGCACUUCAAGGAAUCCACAGCAGAAUUGCCAAGGCCUCAACGGUGGGGUUAUGGCUGCUUCCAUGAACAACAUAAGUUUUAUUAAGCCUAACAUUUCGCUUUUGGAAGCUUACUACAGGAAGAUUAAUGGCUAUUUCACCGAAGAUUUUCCCGGGGCGCCCUUUAAAUUCUAUGAUUUUGUGAAUGGAGCUCCUAAUAAUGCCCCCGUGGAUACUAACUCAUUGAAUGGAAGUAGGACUUAUGUCCUUGAAUACGGGACUCGAGUUCAACUGAUCUUGCAGGACACAGGAACGGUCACCACUGAAAACCACCCAAUUCACCUUCAUGGCUUUAGCUUCCACGUUAUAGGAUAUGGCACCGGAAACUAUAAUCCAGACACAGCAAAUUUCAAUUUGGUGGAUCCGCCGUACUUGAACACGAUAGGAGUUCCAGUGGGUGGCUGGGCCGCUGUUAGAUUCCUUGCAGACAAUCCAGGUAUGUCUCUGCACGUUAUUACUAACAAUAGAAUGGCAUCAGGGCAUUGAUUAACAACUCGUGUACCUUUUUAGUUUUUCAUUUCUUAAAAAAAAAAAAAAAACCUAAAGAAUUAGGAUAUUAAAUUUGGAUACUAAAAUGUUACUGCAGGGGUUUGGUUCAUGCAUUGCCAUUUGGAGAUACAUUUGUCAUGGGGCUUGUCUGUGGUGUUUAUCGUGAAAAACGGGCAAGGACCGCUGCAGACCCUCCCCCAUCCUCCGGCAGACCUGCCCCGGUGCUAGUGAAAAGAGGCUGAUUUAAGCAAAGCCGUGAUAGAUCAUAAAACAUUGGAUGCUUUCUCUGAUCUUAUUUUCCAGCCAGAACUACUGAUGAGAUUCUUUUGAUCCAUGCAAGUGUGCCAUAGACGUGGGUUUUUUUUUUUUUUUCCUUUUUCCUUUUUCGGGACAUCAUAAUUUGGUGUAAAGAAACAGUUUGACGAAAUAAAAACUCAUUACCAUUGCUUUUGUCAAAAUCCUUAGAUUUUGUUGCCUUUUGCAUGUAAUAUGGGGCAUGUGCUCUGGUAUCAGCUGGGCAAGAAUCAUUGUAGCAUGCGGCAGCCUUUAUUUGGAACGUUCCAAUAUGCCCCCCAAAAAAACCUUGGCCAAAUCUGCGUUUUCUCUUCCAACAAUAAGAUUAGAUACCCAGUGCCGUCUGUACUAAAGUAGGUAGAACCCAGGGAUGUCCUUGCCUCGUGCAUUAUAACUCAGAUUUUACAAAAGCAGUUGGAAAGUAACCUUAGAAUAGGAAAAUGUCAAAGCAAGCUGCAUUUAUAAUAAUGACACUCCAAUUACUGAAUUACUAUUAAUUUUCAUGGUAAGAGACCAUACAAUGUAAAGGUGAUUUCUUUUCUUUUCGUUAGCGAAUUCAAGUCUAAGGGUGCGUUACGACUUUCAUCUCACCGUGCUCUCCAAAGAGCAACUCUUCUCAAAAUAUCAUUCAAAAGGUGCUGUGUUAACUUGGAAUCUCAUUCUAACUAAGGAUUCUUGUGGUUUCGGAGGAUCCAGCUACCGGAGAACCAGGAACAGAGAGCUCCCCCCUUCUGCCCGACUCUUUGGUCGAUCUUAAGAACGUUGAUUUUAAGCAUGAGUAAUUACCCUUCUCCGACCCUUACUAUCCAACGCAAACAGAAGUUUAAAUCUAUUAACUUAUUGAAUUAUUAUGUACUAAAUCUAAUAUAUUUGAGUAAUAUCACAUUAAGUGAACUUAUCAAUUAUUUUUAGAACCAAAUUUUAUCUAAAAAAUUCAGUGCUCAUUAAUUCAGAUGUUCAAAUUUUGAUUAUCAAACACGUGUAAAUAUGUUAAAAUUUGGAUCCAUUAAUUUUAAAUGUUGAAUUGGAUUAAUCUUGCAAACACGUCUGGAUAUUUUUGGGUAUUUAGAGUUGUUUUUGUUUUGGAUUUUACAAAGCAAGGUUUGACCUGGGACGUGAGAUCUUAAAUUCUUAAUUAACACAAAUAUGAAACCAACAAAAAAGAAAGAAAAGCGGCGAGGGUCUGAUUCAUAGUCUUGUGCUACGCACAAGGUUCACUCAUACUGCUAACUCUAAUUUCGUUAAUUCAAGACUAUGGGCAGACCAAACAGUCCAUCUAGGGACCAUUUCUUUCCUGAAUUGCAAAUUCGAGAAGACACCAUAAUGACUCAUAGCUAGCGACAAAACACAUCCACCUCAACAUUGAUAAAAGAGAAUUGCUAAUACUGCUUCCUAACAACCCCUUUUUUUGUUGUUUUGGGGGGGGGGGGGGGAGGGGGGCCGUGUCAGAAAGGUUCAAUACUUUUAAUCCCACUUCCCACCAUCAUUCCAAGCAGGAUGCUUAUUUUGAAUGGUGGGUAGAAUCUCAUCACAUUAGCUACCAGUUAGCUGGUUUAUAUUUUCAACUUGAACAAUAUCAGGGAAAAUUUUAACAGACAAGAUGUUGACAUCCCUAUGACAUGCACCACAAACAGAAUUGACGUAGCUCAUUCAAGGAUGUGGAUAUGGACUUACCUCAAGAAUUUUGAGACCUGCAACUCCUCUAGUUCCCAAAGCUUUUUUGUGACAGAUGGCCGAUACUACACAACUUUAGGAGUCAUUAACAUAAAAGCCAGCAGAUAGAAGGAUACUAGUAAGUCAGCAUUCAGACUGAUGGCAUCUAUAUUUUGUGGUCAUGAGAUUGAGAAUUUAGAGAAGCGCUGACUAAGAGUUACUAUAAGCUUUACUGUGCAACGCUCAUCAUCAACACAGUGAUAGUACAACAAAUUGUUUAUUAGAUAUUAGUUUAAGACAAAACAGGCAUUAAAUAAGUUGUCAAAACCUUAGUUAUAUUAAUAAAACACUUGUUCAACUAUCGGGCAAAUUUUACUUUCAAAACUGAAAAUAGACAGACUUCAGAAAGAGUGGCAUCUAACAACUUGAAGGAGACCAAAGUCUGGUACAACCAACUAUCAAGAUGGCAUCAGGUUCCACUAUAUGAGAUGCACAAAAAAGGCUGGGCAUAAAUAUACCCUUUGUCCCUGCUCAGCCCCCAAAGAGACGCACAGAAACAGAGCCGUGAUGCAAUCCCUUCCUUGGUAAGGCCUCUUGCUCAAAUGAGUAUUCCACGGCAUCGCUAGAGAAACUAAAAAUGUUCCUAAACUUCGAGGAAUGAAUAUGCCUGGGUUGUUCCAGCCCAUUGUUGGAAAAUGGUUGAGAUACUCAUUUGAACAAGAUGCUUUCCACGGGAGGGUUCCAACUACUGCUACAUUUCUUUGACUAGCAUCAGCGAAACUCCCAGUUGCUUUUUUAUCAAUGCCUGAGUCAAGAGCAAAAGACUUCUAACAACAAGGGACUUCCAGUGGCUUUCACCAGAUAAAGGUACGCAAGGUCAAAUUUUAUAGUUUGCGGGCAAGAGUUCUGACAUAACUUAUAAAUCAUAUACAACGAGUGAUGAUCCUCUUUUAUUUAUCUUCAAGAAAACUAGCAAAAUUCACAAGGGGUUCACAACUGUGGAUGGAUGAAAUUUUAUUACAAAUAAUAAGCUUUGAAAUUAGCUAAGGUUCAGCAUAAACCAUGGAAUCACAAGACGACACUAUGGAUUGACUUUAUCUGAAGUCCAGAACUUUUCCCCACUCCCAGUCCUUGUAGAUGUAAAAGAUUGCCUUUCAUUACUCUUUAAAUUUAGAUAAUCAACCUGUAAGCAAGACCAACAUCACAAAUUUAGGGAGGGCAGUAAUUUGUCUUAAGAUGAGGGACAGUCCCAAGAAGAUUUAAACCUGGUCAGGGUCCAGAAGAAGUAAGCAAAAUGCACCAACAGGACCAGUAGAAGGGUCUAAAGAGGUUUUUUCAGAUAAUUCUUCAUUGAGAGAAGGAAGUCCAGGAGUAGGUCCCAAAUACUGAAGUCUUGAUCUAAGCGAACUAGCAAACCAAGCUUUCUCUCUGUGCUGCAUUGUUUAUAUUGAAAUCUCAGGAACAAUAUAAUUCUCCAAGUUUAGUAAUAUAGAGAAAUGUAUUGCUGAUGCACCCACUUUACCAAGAAAUCCAUUUGUUUAUUGAGAAAGCUAACAUCAAUAACACAGAAAAAGCUCUCUAAACAACUUGUAUUUUCAAUAACACAGAAAAAGCUCUCUAAACAACUUGUAAUGUAAUACUCUGAAACUGUAAGCACAAUAAGUCUCAGAAGUACCAAAACAGAAAAUAUAGACAUUAGCUGCACAUAUUGAGCACGUUAAACAGACAACUGCUCACCAGCAAGGGAAAUGUGUUUGUCUAAAUUAAACUGGAAUUUGGGUGAAUUGACAAAAAAUGAAAUCCUUAACAUGAAAAACAAAAACCAAAAAGACAUACAUCUUGAAGGGGAUGCCAUCAUUGGCCAUGAGAAUACUUGACUUGAACUUUCAUACCUAACCAGUUGCUAAAACCAAACGACAGUGGCAAGGAUUCCAGACAAAAUCAGGCUUCUGAAGCAUCAUAGGUACUGGUACUUGGUAAAGCUUCCCCCCCCCCCCACCCCAACAACACAAAACAAACACCUUUCAUAGAUUUCACAAAAUGUUCAAAGUUUGUCAAUCAGAAUUGGAAAUAUCUAUCAUCCCACGUAUUUAUGCAUCCUUUAAGUCAUAAUGUCAUCUCAUUGGUUUCCGGUUGUAUAAUUCAUUCUUCAGGAAACAAAACUACAAAUCACAGACACAAAGUUAGAACAUUCACGAAUUCACAGACCAGCAACAGCAAGUGAGAGCAAGCUAAAAGGCACAUGAGACCAGGAGACUACUCAACAGUACCUGUAAUUUUAGAGGGUCAGCACUAUUUCCAUCAAUAAUAUCCACUUUCCCGUUAAUGCGGAAUUGCUCCCAGGUGUCAGUGAAAUACCAGCAUAUCUAUCCAGUUUACCAACAAUCAGAAUCAUCCAAUCUCCAGAAAACAUAAUAAAACAACAAAAAAAAUCUGGACUGCCAGCAAUUUUUUCUUUAAUUCUUUUCAUUUAUAUUGGUAAAAAGAGCUUUUUUGUGGUAUAAAGCUUUAAAAAGAAGAAACAAACUCUUCGUAGCACUCCAAUUUCAGCACUUCUUCCAAAUUACUGAGCCAAGGUAAAUCUUCUUAUAAAUAACAAACCUAUUUGCCUUCAGAGCAAAUACUACUAGCAGUAAAUAAGUAGUCCAACGAUACCUCAGCAAAAGGGCAAUGCUUGAGAUCUUCAAUCUGCAUUACUUUUAAGUAAAGAGCAACAUAAGUAGUAUUCCAAAAACGAACAUCUGGUUAUAACUUCAAAAAUGUCAUGAAGAAGCAGGAUUAGGCAAAACCGCCCAUUUCACCCAGCCCACGGAAAACGCACCCCCAAAAAAAAAAAAAAAAAGAUAUUGAAGGAACAGCAGAUUAUCCAAAGUUACUGUCUUUACUUGGUAAAUGUCAUUUGGGAAGCUAGAAAGAGGUGAUUCAAAAACAGCGCAAUUUCACCCAAUCCACCUAAAACGCACGGAUACAAUACAGAGAGAGAGAGAGAAAGGAAGAGGAAAUCACUAAAAAGAAAGCUAAUGAGAGAGAGAGAGAGAACCUUUCGAGUUCGGGAAUCAGUGUUCAUCUGAAUCUUAUCACUGUCGUCUUGGAAUCCUCUGAAAACAACAGUUCGAUUUGAGGGCCUGCCGUUAUUCCCUACUGUUGCCUGAAUUUACGUCAAAAAGAAGAGAGAGUAGUGAAAACCUUUCACCAAUACAGAUAACCCGAGAAACCAAAAAUAAAGAGGAAAAGGGGGAAUCAUAAGCUGCUGCUGCUGAGCCAUACAAGUUGAAAAUAGGAGGAGUGCUUGAGGUGGGAAUUUGAUUGGAGGGCAUUUAAAAGAAGCUGCUUCCAUGGAGCCGUUGCUGAGCUUCCCAUUCUCCGGCGGCAACUUUACAGGAUUUACACAGGCUGGCUCUGGCUGUUUUUGCUCUGAUUAUUUUGAUGCAUCGCUUCUAAAUCAUGCGUUUGCGUACUAGGGACAUGAGAACACGUAAACGGAGGAGAGCCCGGUCGGCCCCGUGGCCAAGAAAAAGACGGGCUGGCCGCUUUAGCUAAAACCAGGAAACCGGAACCGGAACCGGAACGGAGGGACAUCCUGAAAACGACACCGCUUCCCACAAGCAUAAGCCCAUACCAAUGAAUUAGGAAGCUUCCGUCUCACAGACACCUAGAAUCUACUUCAUUGGGCCAAUAUUUUGCAUUGGGCUUUUCCUUCUGUUAGUCGUGGAAGUUAUCCAAAAAAAACAAAAAAUUUUUUUUAUUCCAAUUCGAUUUUCUUUGAUAUACUAGAUGGAAAAUAGGAAUGUUACACUUACGGACGAUACUUAGCCACUUUUUUUUUUUUUGUUGCUAUGAUCAUCAUUAUUAUAUCUCUUUAACCUUAUAUUUGAAGGUAUUUUUAUUCUAAUUCCUCAUAAUAUACAAAUUAAAGAUCGAGCAUCUGUAUGUGCAUAACUUUUAGAAUUACAGUACCUAUGAUGUUUGAUAUUUAUGAUUCAACUCUCAAUGCUUUGCCUUUCCAUUUGUAAAGUUAGGAGUCUUCUCUUGAACCCAAAAAAAAGGAAUUCAAUAUGUAAAGUUAGCAGAGGAAUGAAUUAAGGUGCAAUACAGACAAUAUUUGUUUUUUUUUUUCCAGCGAAUACAUAAGGAGGUUUACUGUAUUUAACCCUUAAAAUUAUAUAAAAUAUAAAAUUAACAACCCCCAACCCCCCCCCCCCCCCCCCCCCCCCCCAAAAAAAAACUAAGUAGUAGAAAGAAAAUUUUUCGUUUUCGUGAACGGGGCGGACCCUAGUGUUAGGUUCCAUGAACUAUUCUGUCAAAGCAUAUGUAGAGAAAGCGAGUUAACAAACUUGCAUGGAUUAUGCAUAUAUGAUAUCGCGACUACGUCGCAAUGGAAACUUGAGGUCAGGUGUCUGAUAUGGGCUGGUCUACAACGAUUUGGCCUUGUAAAACUUGGUGCUAGUAAAUUUGAUCCAAUGAAUUACCGAGCCGGACUCGGCUCCAGCAAAGCUCACCGUAUUGAACUUCUUUUCCGAAAAAGAAUGUGGGCGAAUUCCAUUUUAUCAACCAAUUUAAAUUUGCUUGUAAUUAAACUAGUGGCCAGCUGUAAUUGCCAUGACUUUGGAGCAAAGGGCUUAGAUAGUAUGGCACCUUUGAUCUAUCUAUUAAUGCUACUAAUAUGCAGUUUCUUGGUGGUCACCGAGACAUUUAAGUCUAGGUGGGUUUCACUUUGCCACUUAAUUGUGGCUUUUUUCGACAGAAAAAUUCCGUCUGCUUUCUUCCUUUUAGAUUAGGUUACAAUAGGUUAUACAAAUAUUAUCGUUGCGACAAAAAAAAAUGCAGUUUUGGUGGGCAGAGAGCAUAGUGAAACAUGCUUCUUUGGAUUCCAUGCUUGUUAGUAGUAAAUCGGAAAUACAUUUUGUUUCCUGAUUUGCAGCCCAAUCUUGAGAUAUAGCAACGGAAGAUUUGACCCCAAAAAAAAUGGAUAAAACAUUUGUAAGGCCUCGUUUGAAUUGCUACUCUUUCGGAAAACAAAAUUUUGUUGAGUUUUUUUUUAAAAAAAAAAAAUUAGAAGUAUUCUCUUUAUAUCUCUCAAACACCUUUAUUUCACACAUAGUACAUGUCAAAAUAAAUAAAAAAAAGAGUUGCGCUGUUGCUGGUUUCCUAUGGGGAAAAAAAAUCUCAAAAAUACCAAUCUCGUGGGGUAUACAUUUUCCAAGCUACGAGUUAUUUAUUUAUUUAAUUUUUUUUUUGGGUUCCCCAGCAGUUGGGGCCAGGCGGUAACUAGAAAGCAUGCGUUACGCGCACCGGAGCUUAGAAGUGUAGACUGUAGUGUAGCAGAAAACGUGGAAUUCCUUCAUUCCUACUUUGUACUAAAAGUACUAAUCAAUGAAUGCCACUGAGAUAUGGGGAGGACUUUUGGCUAUUUCCUGGAAGACUUCUUUCUACCGAAAAAAAAUAAAUUUUUUUUGUUUUAGCAGGGGAUAUAGACAAGAGGAGGUCUCAAAUCUCAAUCAUAGAAAAGGAAGACAAUUUCUCCCCUCCAUUUAGGAUUUAGCAACUCUUUUGGGUCCUACCAUAAAUCCCGUUGUCGGCCUCUCUCUCUCUCUAGUCUCCCUAUCACGCACUAAAAUUUUCUUCUGUUUACAAGUCUUCUUCAGUUCAUCCUAAUUGGCAUCUAUGCGAGGGGUCCCUGUGGUCGUUUCUUCAAAAAGUUCUGCAUCCAUUAUGAGUAAUAUUUAUCCGCUUUUUUUUUUUUUGAGAAAUUCUAUUUGCAUUUCUCCUUUUUUUUUUUAUCAAUUAAUCACGUUCUUACUUUCAUUUUAUUCAUAUAAUUUUCAUUUAUUAGAUUAUAUGUUAAAGUAAAUGAUGAAAGUGCAAAUAAUGAAAAAUGGAGUCACUGCCUGACUUUUUACAUGCAUGGCUAUUGAUCCAGCUAUGACAUGGCUAACCCAUGUUCCUCGUCUAAGGCCUCAUCAAUUAAACCUUUGGAUAGAGUAUUAUUUGAAAUAUCAUUUGAAAUAAUUACCGUAACACUUUUUAUGAUGUGAUGUAUGUGAGAUAAAAAAGUGAGUUGGAAAUAUAAAAAAGUGAGUUGAAAAAUGCGUUUAUGAUGCAAGCGAAAUAUUAUUUGAGAUAAUUUGCUAUCCAAACGCUCAGUUCAUUAUAAACUCAUUACACUUUUGUAGAGAAUGAAUGCCUUGAUCUAGUUAUUAGAGUGGAGGCUCCAGAAAUUGAAAAUCCUGAAUUCACAUUUUCUCCCCCUUCCUAUUUUUUAAAUUCACCAUUUCCUUACUUUAAAAAAUAAUAAUAACUAUUACACUUUUCCCUUUACAAAAAACUAAACUUCUUACAGUUGAGGAAAGAUUUUUGUUCCCUCUUUUUUCUUUUGACAUAAAACUCAAGGUAUGUUGCAAAGAUUAUUACACAAUGGAAGGGGUAAAUAUAUAACUUCGCACACAACCCCCCCCCCCCCCCCCCCCAAACAAACAAAAAAAAACAAAAAAAAAAUCCAUUAGUUACCGCGGACAAAAAAUACAUCAGUGACAGGCUAACAUGCUGAGAAUUUAAACAUAUCUACAUCUACUUUUUAAGUGAAUCCGACUACAAGUACAUUAAGUCAACAAAAAAAAAAAAAGGACUAAUAUUAACAACAUCAAUAUUGAUUAUUGACUAAGACAAAUUGAGGCAACAAGAUAUAUAGUCAGCUCAUCGGAUUUUCCUCGUUAAUCUCAAAAACUUAAAAUAGGGCACAAAGGAACGAGGGUGGUGGAGGCCGGAGGGAAGGAAGAAAAAGGGAUGAAUUUGGAAGCAUUUUAUUGGGAGCAGACCUGUCUAACUUCAAUCUAUCUUCAUUCCGCUUCUGUGUAGAAGGUUUUCUUGAAACUAAAGAAGGUACUAUUAAUUAUAACUAAAGAAGGUUUAGGAGCUUUAGAGGUCAAGCAUAUAUGGUAAACAUAUACAUAUAUGUAUAUGGGGCAUAAACCUUGCCCUUUCCUUCUCUUGAUUACUUUACUUCAGGCAUUUGUGUAACUGUAAAAUAAUGUACUAAUUCCUGCAUGAAAGCCUCAUGUCAUGUAUUAAAUAGCACAAAAAAGCUAGCUAACCUGACAAAGUGUGGAAUAUACUAGUACUUAGCUUGGGAUGGGGGUUUUUUUUUUUUUUUUUUUUUUUAUGGCAGGGUGGGGUGGAAUUAAUAGUAUGCUGCUGCAUCGUACGUUCAAAGUUAGUUUGAACCUAGAAAUGUACGAAGACAUAGCAUCAAUCUGCAAGCAAAAAAGAGAUUGUAUACGUGUGGGGUUUGGACGAGCACAGUCUACCCAGUUGUACCUCAGGCAGAAUGCCACGGUUAAUUACAGGCAAUCAGAUACGAAGAAUGGCAUAAUGAUGGUGGAAGGAUGUGGUUGGUGAGAAGUCCGUUGUCUUUUUCCGAAUAAUUCCCUGAGGAGUUGAAGACGGCUAGCUUUAGGGGAGAAAGAAAGACCAAAAGGCAAAAUUGUUCUUGAGAAUUAAGCAACAUAGAUUCGAAAGAAACCAGAAAAAGCAAAUCUUUGGUGACCCUAAAAAGGUUUUCCUACGUACUUAUAGAGGGCUAACAUCACAAACUAGAAACAUGGACGACAAUGGUACACAUGCAAACAAUCCCAGUUGGUGAAGUUUGUUGGUGACAUAUCAUUCUACUCCCCCCCCAAAAAAAAGAAAAAAAAAUUCUGCUUGAAUUAUUUUGCAAGAUUGAACGACAUCUUCUAAAUUGUCGAGAUUCAUGCAAAAGGUGCACAUAUAUUCCAGCAGGCAAGUAAAAUAUUUGUUGGUCCAUGUCAUUUCAGCAAAUUCGGAGGAUCGUCUGGAGUUUAAAAAACCAGUUCAUCAUAUGAGUAGAUGAUCAUAUAAAUUCCAGAAAGCCAACCAACUCAAGACUCAAAUGAAAGGAUUGUAAGAAUGCAAUUGAACUACUGUCGACGAGAGAGCAAUUAGAAUCGAGAGUUCCCCCAUUAUAGGGUCAAAAAGGCAAAACCCACCAUCGGAGAGACAAUUCAGAAUUCCACUCACGAAGUUUAAAAAAAGAUUAGAUACACAGAGCUUUCUAAUUGAAUAUCAGACAAAAGUUCAAACAGGGAAAUGACACUAAAAUAUCCUGCUUUUAAUAUGAGUAUAGUCAAAACAAACACACAUCCAUCAUCCCUCUUUUCCUUCCAUCAUCGCAUAAAGUAAGCCAACACUAAAAGGACCAACACACAAACAGCUCUAAAACAUUCUUUCUUGUAUCAUCAAGGACAGCUGCAGACAAAGGGGCUGAAAUUUUCUCCAUCUCAUAAGGUUGCUUUUUUAUUGGUGACCUUUUUUUUUCCUCUCAAUUCAUGGAUACAACUAAUCAAUGGACUCAGGUUGGUAGAAGCACUUGAUCUCCAUGUUUACUUGCUCCGAAUAAGUAUGUAAAUACUUUCAAAUCCAGUAUUAUGAGUUUUAGGGUUCACUUGGAAAGUUUUCCCACUUUUUUUUUUUUUUUUUUGAGAGCCUUAGUGGAUUACGCUUUGUUGAAAUGAUGUUCAAGAUCACAAAUGACGGUUGCACCAGGACCAAUUUUUUCAUUUUAAACUUUGCUAGCUUUUCUGCUGAGAUUGAAGAUUAAUUAUGUUCUUUAUACAUGAAAGGACUGCACUUUUUCUUUCUUCUCCUUUUUGCAUGUGUGCUAACCGAUAAAAGGGAACUGGGAAAAGUUAUUCUUCGUUAUUAUUGCUUGUUUCUCCUUUGAUUCAAAUAACUUUCCAAAGUGAAAGUUUGUUUAUUUUAAUUUGUCAGCUAGUUUAAAUUUUUUAUUUUUUUUCCAAACUGUUGAUUGAUCCUCUAGCACCAAAUUUGAUCUUGUAAAUCUCUGGCUUUCAUGCUUUUGUUAGGAGAUUGGAGGGUUGAAAAGUAUGGGUGAGAUAGCUUCCAGUCCAUGCUCCAGGCCAGUGGUGCAGGAAAGAAAGGUUAGGCCACAAAAGGAUCAAGCCCUGAAUUGUCCACGGUGUCAUUCAACUAAUACCAAGUUCUGCUAUUACAACAACUAUAGCCUUACUCAACCAAGAUACUUCUGUAAGACCUGCAGAAGGUAUUGGACUGAAGGUGGAACUCUGAGGAAUGUUCCAGUUGGAGGAGGCUCAAGGAAAAACAAAAGAUCUACUACUACUAAUACUUCAUCCCACAAACAUCCUGAUCUGAACCCUCCGACCAUCACUCACUUCGCUUCUCAAAACCCUAAGAUCCAUCCUCAAGGCCAAGACCUUAACCUAGGUUUCCCAGCUUCACAAGAUUAUCAUGGUCAUGCUUCUAAAAUAUUUGAACUACCCAAAGUUGAUGUCAGCGGCUGCAAUCAGCUAAAGUCUUCAUCUUCUGCAUCCUCAGCUCCAUUCGCCGCCCUAGAGUUUCUAAGGACAGGAAUUGUUUCGAGGGGGAUGAAUUCCUUCAUCACAAGUACGAUCCCAGCUGUGGACCUAAAUGCUCUCUAUAACGCUCAAGGGUUUCAAUUCCAAGAUUUGAAGCCAGCAGCUGGCGUCAGUUUUUCUGUUGAUCAUCAUGGGCUUGGAAAUAGGUUUGUUAAUGCUCCUAGCGGGAUCCAAGAAAAUGGUGGGCGACUAAUGUUUCCUUUUGGAGCAGUCAAACAAGGUACAAGCACAAGUGCAGUCGAUCAGAAUAAGGGACAAUCAGAUUCAAGUGGAUAUUGGAAUGGAAUGUUGGGUGGGGGAUCAUGGAUGUAAAGGUAGUGAUCCAAGGACAAAUCAGAUGCGGAGUCUCUUCCUUCUUCCAUCUGGGGCUACUAAUACUUUCUCUUUAGUAACAAGAUUUUUUUUUUUUUGAUCCUCCCUUUUUUUUUUCCUUUCUUUUUGGUACUUUCCCUUUUCUUUUGGUUUAGUUACGAAUUUGGAGUUGUUCAGAACUAACAUAUUCACCUAUGCAAUUUCUUUCUUCUUCAUUUCAAUGUAAUGUACUUAAUGUGACCCUUCCGGCUGUGUUAAGCUAUCAGGAAUUUUUUUUUUUUUUUUUAUAAAAUGUAAAUGAAACAAGCUGAUUGAAGCGUUAGCUUGACUAGAUUGGAUUCUAGGGAUUGCUACUUCAUACGACGUUGUUGCAUUAAUUCUCUCACGGUAAGUUAUAGGGUUUGCCUAACAAUUGAAUUGUUCAUUUGACACUCAUGCACCAAGUGAGAUAUUAGAUGUUAAUUUUUCUGAAAAAUAGCAGCAUUAAACAAAAAUAAUAAUAAUAAUAAAUGUGAGUUUAUACAUUUAAAUGACAAGUUUAAUGUCGUAAAUGCUACUAUUAAGUGAUCAUUGAACACUUGCUAUAGACAGCUUUAUUUAUAGGGCACAAUGAUUUAUGUAGCACCUCGAUAAUUGGUUUGUGAUCAUUUAAUCAAUUAGGGUCCCGUCCCGGGGUUCGGUCGAAAAUGCGGAUAUUCAUGAAGGAGAGUUCACACAUUGUAAUAUCUUUCUUUUGGUGAGCAGGUAAGAAGGAAUGAACCAGAAUUCUAUCCAGGGCCUACGGGGUAGCCAAUGCCAUUUGUCCUGAUGCUGUGAAUUCUCUCCAGAAGAAGAGGGGGGGCAGGGCACCAAGCUGUUCAAGCAGUUGACCGUACCUACCACUCACAGCAGGAGACAUUUGUCUCUGUGAUUUGUUGAAUAAUAUGACAGUCAAGAAGAGUUUCCAGAGCUAUUUUGUGUAGACGCAUUAUUGUAGAGGAGGAGUGACGCCAACAUUUGCUUAAUUGCUUUACAAAAGAAAGAACGAACGCUUGCUAUGCUAAUCGUUGAAUGAGAUGAUACAUGCAUGUAUAAGGGCUGCAAAAUACGAUUCAUUCACAAGCAAAGAUGCAAACUAACUAAAAAAGAACACAAACUGCAAUAUAUGUUGAUUAGAGCAGUGAUUUUUUGAAAGCUGUUAUAUAUACAGUCAUUAGCAGGCUUCAGAUUUGUAUCCCAGAGCGUCGGUCUUCGCAAAUUUUGUGUAUAUUUAUCAUGAGGCAGGAAAUUAAUUACUGCCACAACUAGGAAAUUAAACUCUUCUUGUUUGUUUGUACAAGCUGCUGAGUAAUUUGUUCAAAGAGGGUGGGCAAAAGGCUACGGCGCUGAUGAUAGGGAUAGGGAUAGGGACGCCCGUACUCUGGAUCCUGCUUUCAAAUCAGUUUGAAUAAAAUGCUAAGCUGGUUGACACGUUAACUCCUGUGCCUGCUAGUACCUAGUAAACAGUAGUGAGACGACUGCGGAUAAAUUUCACAGAGCUUAAUUAACGAUGAUGAUUAUCAUUAACAAAUUGCGAAUAUUAAAAAAAAUAAAAAAGAAAUAACAUUUUACCUGCCUCAACUCUACCAAAUCCACCUAAUCCGUCUCCAUGUCCACCUAAGUACGGAGGAGGUCAAUUAAGGCUCUUUCUUGUGUUGAUGGCGAAAGUUAAUAAUGAUCAUUGCAUGCCAUAUUACUUACCCCAAAAUACAUACAUACAUACAUACGUACGUAGUUAAAAUCCAUCAACCUACGAAUGCUACCUGUGAAAUGAAACGUAGAUUCACAAGUAGUAGUAGUAGUAUUUUUUUCCAAGUUGAAUUGACAGUGUCGGGUCAUCAAAAUCCAUUUAAAAGACCCGGGGAGGGGGAUGGGGGGGAGUACAUAUAAAAAAAUAGCAGUGAGAGCCGCGGCAUGACUACUAAUCAUAACUUUGCAUGUUAUCCAUCCAGCACCCAUUAUUAAUUAUUAUUCAAAGAAACGCAUAGAAAAGUCUGACAAUUCUUGCGCCUUGCGGUGGUGAUGGGACUUUUUGGGGGGGGAGGGGACCUCAAACAUUGGUGUGCAGGUAGUCUGGGGCUGGGGCUGAGGAAUAUCACCAUCUCCACGAAUGACUCUUGAGCCCAGCCAUUUGGUUAUUUUGUGUGUGUGUGUGUGUCUAUAUAUACAUAUAUAUAUAUAUAUAUAUAUCCUGUUGGUAGUCUAGUACCAGGAUAAAUUCAUUCUGUGAGAAUGACCCUGCUUUCGUCUGUCGAUUGAAUACGCUAAUGUUUUAGCAGCUUAGACUCUUCCAUAAGUGCCCGCGAUACAAUACAUACAACCACAGAUUGAGAGUACCGCGUAGUUCUGAUGGAAAUUUCACAGUAACAUUAUGCAUGGAUCAAUUUAAAUAUGCUAGUAAAGGCAGGGCAGAGCUAAUUUAAAAACCUUCGUCUUACCUCAGACGUCAGACCCAGCAAGGAUUCAUAUUUUCACUUGCUUGUCCAUUCAUUUUCCAGCUAUAAGUCAAAGAGAUUGAAAGAGACAUAAUUAUCGAGAGAACCAUAUGAAAUACAAACAAAAUAUUGUACUCUUGGACAUCACAAUAACACUACUACUAUACAGAGAUUACUCGAUACAUUUAUUGCUUCAAUCUCCAAAGGCAUACAAAAGCAGUUUCAGACACAAAAAAUGCUACAUGAGCAAAAUAUCCUUUCCAGUUCUGACCACUGUACAUCAAGAACUCUUCUGCAGGACGAGGAAGGAAC